GUUGAAUAAGAAGUGCAUUUCGCAAUCGUGCUCAAAGAAUAAAAAACGAAAAAUAACGGCGGACUCACCUCUGUUAGCGGUCGACGGCGUCGAUGGCGUCGACGACUGUCUAUUUUGCCGUACCGCGAUCUGGAGUCUGUUCAGAAGAGUCUGAAGUUGGAUCAGGAUCACUUCCACUUCGUUUUGGUCUUCGGGAUAAUGAAACAGCGUAGGAGAAAAUGGUGCUUAAUGAAACGAUUUUGUCGAAAUAGGAAGAUAGCAGAUAGACCCCAUAGCUCUUUCUGUGAGGACAAUCGACUACCGUUUCUGCCUUUUUUACAAGACAAGUGCCAUUUCGGACCAGAAAGCAGAGGCACGAUUUAAAUGGUUCCUUUUGCAAUGAGGAUAAGGAACCUGGCAUUCAGAAGAGGUUGGCUCGUGCAGCAGCAAGUGUGAAAACUACAAAGAACAUCACUGCCCAAAGACGCAUUGUGGAGCUCGUACGUCUGCGUGAUCUUGUUGUAGUAAUCCACCAUGUAGAUCAACACAACACGGAGAAGAAUGAAUGGAAUUACCCUUGCACAACUACAACGAAGGAGAGACAAUUCGACCGAAGAGACGUCGGGUGCACCUUUUAUUUAUUGUAAAUAGUAUGUUUGGUUAAUAAUAAUAAUGAAAUGACCCAUGUACAUUGCUACUUUUUAAAUAAAUGCGAC